CGCUGGCCAAACCCGUAGAAAUAACGUUGCAGUGUUUUGAAUGAAAUUAAAUGUAGCGGCCCGUAAAUUUUACGGGCUUGGUGAUUUUCGCGCGAUCCCAGGCCCGUAAAUUUUACGGGCUUGGCGCUUAGAGUGUUAAGGAAAUCUACAUCAGGGUUGUCAGUGGAUAUCUGAACUCCACUUCCCCCAAAUGUGAUCACAGUGUGCUUAUCAUUAACUAUGAAUAUAAAUUUGGGAUAUACACUCUCCAAAACUGAUGGACAUAUACAUUAGCUAAUAAUAUUAUAAGAAGGAGGUUACAAGAAAAGUGUCUAAAUAUCAACAACUAUAUCUCAAAUAAAUUUCAUUGUGCAGGUCUAUGAUAGUCAGAUUCUGAUGAAUGAAUUAGUGAAUGAUUUUUAAAAAACAUCUAGGAAGUACUCAUUCUAACCAGAUUUUGAAAUUUCCAUAAGUACAUCACGUUUGUGACAUAAAUAUAACUGUAGGAAUCACACCAAUGAACAUUCUCUUGAAAGAUGAAUUGAGAACAUUGAAUUGUGGUAAUAGCUAAAAUGCAUCAUAAUUCAUGUUCAAGACAAAUGGCCUCAUUCAGUGAAUGUUAAACAAACAGGACUGUUACACCUUCACUUCACAAAAAGUGUAUUAUAAUAUAUAGGGGUGUGUUAAUAACAAUUCACGAGCCUAUAAAAAUAAAUGUGCAUGAAGCUGGUCACAAAUUUCUAGCAAUAUGUCUUGAUGAAUGAUCUCCCAGAAAAUCCUAGAGGAUUCUGAUCCUCUACAAUGUCAAUAAAUGAAUCACAAAAUCUUCUAGCCAAUCUUUUGUGAAUCAGUAUGUUGUUGAAAUCAAACAUAACAGACAUAAAACGAAAAUAUUAAAUUCUGUGUUUUAAAAUGACACCACACAUGACAAUCAAAUUUUAUACCACAUUUUGAAUGCCUGCAAACUGACAAAUUUAUGAUAUUUAUAUAAGUGCUUCCAGUAAUCCAUAAUAAGAUUGUAAGCUAAACUGCUGAACUGGUUUUGAUAAAAUUUGGUAUGUAAAUAAAUUGAACAUUUAGGAAGAACAUAGACAACUUUAGAAAGUUGAAUUACCUUCUAGUGUAGUGUCAAUAUUUUUAAAUAUGGGAUGUGGAUGACCCUUCAUGGAAUUUGGCAACUCAGAAGGUUUGUAGAUUAUUGCAUGAUGGUGCCAACUCAAAGUUUACUUAUAUGUGUGGUUUCUGAAAUUUUAAAAAUAAUUCUACACCAGCUGAUGAAGCUGGACAGUUUUUACAAUGAAAUAUUGUAGAGAUACAAUAAUAAAAUCUGCUGGUAAAUCCAAGAA